CUGAUCCCGAUAUCGAACGACACCUUAAGCUGCUAAAGAGCCAGGCCGGCUUUCGCUGGUCGCCGGCUUCUUAGGAGGGACUGUCAGCGUUUAGCCGACGGAAGUUUGAGGCAAUAACAGGUCUGUGAUGCCCUUAGAUGUUCUGGGCCGCACGCGCGCUACACUGACAGAGCCAGCGAGUUCUUUUCCUUGGCCGGAAGGGCCUGGGUAAUCUUGUGAAAAUCUGUCGUGCUGGGGAUAGAACAUUGCAAUUAUUGGUUUUCAACGAGGAAUUCCUAAUAAGCGUGAGUCAUCAGCUCGCGUUGAUUACCUCCCUGCCCUUUGUACACACCGCCCGUCGCUACUACCGAUUGAAUGGGUUAAUGAGGCCUUCGGAUUGGCUUGGGGAACCGGCAACGGCACCCUGGAGCUGAGAAGUCGGUCAAACUUGGUCAUUUAGAGGAAGUAAAAGUCGUAACAAGGUUUACGUGGUGAACCUGCGGAAGG
rnacentral:rRNA from 1 species